GAUCAUGGCUCAGGAUGAACGCUAGCUACAGGCUUAACACAUGCAAGUCGAGGGGCAGCGAAGAGGUAGCAAUACCUUUGCCGGCGACCGGCGCACGGGUGAGUAACACGUAUGCAAUCCACCUGUAACAGGGGGAUAACCCGGAGAAAUCCGGACUAAUACCCCAUAAUAUGGGCGCUCCGCAUGGAGAGCCCAUUAAAGAGAGCAAUUUUGGUUACAGACGAGCAUGCGCU
rnacentral:rRNA from 1 species